rnacentral:misc_RNA from 1 species
GAAAUGCGAUAAGUAAGUGAAUUGCAGAAUUCAGUGAAUCAUCGAAUCUUUGAACGCACAUUGCGCCCGCCAGCACUCUGGCGGGCAUGCCUGUUCGAGCGUCAUUUCAACCCUCAGAACCCCUUGCGGGAUCUGGCGUUGGGGAUUGGCAUCCAGCCAGCCCCGAAAUCUAGUGGCGGUCCCUCCGCGACCUCCCCUGUGCAGUAGCGAUACCUCGCAGCGGGACAGCGGUCUGACCACGCCGUAAAACCCCCAACUUCUCAAGGUUGACCUCGAAUCAGGUAGGAAUACCCGCUGAACUUAAGC